GAUGAACGCUGGCGGCGUGCCUAAUACAUGCAAGUCGAGCGAACAGACGAGGAGCUUGCUCCUCUGACGUUAGCGGCGGACGGGUGAGUAACACGUGGAUAACCUACCUAUAAGACUGGGAUAACUUCGGGAAACCGGAGCUAAUACCGGAUAAUAUAUUGAACCGCAUGGUUCAAUAGUGAAAGACGGUUUUGCUGUCACUUAUAGAUGGAUCCGCGCCGCAUUAGCUAGUUGGUAAGGUAACGGCUUACCAAGGCAACGAUGCGUAGCCGACGUGAGAGGGUGGUCGCCCACCCUGGAACGUGGACACGGUCCAGACUCCUGCGGGAGGCAGCAGACGGGAAUCUUCCGCAGUGGGCGAGAGCCUGGCGGAGCGGCGCCGCGUGUGUGGUAAAGGUCUUCGGAUCGUAAAACUCUGUUAUUGGGGAAGAACAAAUGUGUAAUUAACUAUACCCGUCUUGACGGUACCUAGUCAGAAAGCCCCGGCUAACUACGUG
rnacentral:rRNA from 1 species